CACGUAGGGCGCGAGCGUUGGCCGGAAUUAUUGGGCGUAAAGAGCUCGUAGGCGGCCUGUUGCGUCCGCUGUGAAAGCCCGGGGCUUAACCCCGGGUCUGCAGUGGAUACGGGCAGGCUAGAGGUAGGUAGGGGAGAAUGGAAUUCCCGGUGUAGCGGUGAAAUGCGCAGAUAUCGGAAGGAACACCGGUGGCGAAGGCGGUUCUCUGGGCCUUACCUGACGCUGAGGAGCGAAAGCGUGGGGAGCGAACAGG
rnacentral:rRNA from 1 species